AUUGAACGCUGGCGGCAGGCCUAACACAUGCAAGUCGAGCGGAUGAAGGGAGCUUGCGCCUGGAUUCAGCGGCGGACGGGUGAGUAAUGCAUAGGAAUCUGCCUGGUAGAUGGGGAUAACGUCCGGAAGGGGGCGCUAAUACAGCAUACGUCCUGAGGGAGAAAGGGGGGGAUCUUCGGAGAUAGCGCUAUCAGAUGAGACUAGGCCGGAUUAGCUAGUUGGUGGGGUAAAGGCGUACCAAGGCGACGAUCCGUAACUGGUCUGAGAGGAUGAUCAGUCACACUGGAACUGAGACACGGUCCAGACUCCUACGGGAGGCAGCAGUGGGGAAUAUUGGACAAUGGGCGAAAGCUUGACGCAGCAAUGCCGCGUGUGUGAAGAAGGUCUUCGGAUCGUAAAGCACUUUAAGUUGGGAGGAACGAAAGUAAGUUAAUCCCUUGAUGUUUUGACGUUACCAAAACAAUAAGCCCCGGCUAACUUCGUG
rnacentral:rRNA from 1 species